rnacentral:tRNA from 1 species
ACUAUUUUGGCAGACAAGUGCACUAGAUUUAGAAUCUAUAAAUGUAAGUUUUACUUACAGGUAGUA